GGUUCUCCAUGCACCAUUCAAUUGAUUAUUAUUUGAUAAAUAUCGUUUACUUUUCACACAAUAACUUGAUUAGGUGCCCAUAAGUAGUCGACGAAAUCUUGUUUAGAUGUGCCGAUAUAUACCGACAAUAUAGAAAAUAAAAUCGUCGAUAUUCAAAAACUAAAUAAGUCAAAUGAUUUGAUCAAAAUGAAUAAAAUCUCUUCUUUUGGUACCGAACUUAACAUGUGGUUGGUGUUGUACAAAGU